rnacentral:lncRNA from 1 species
CUCCUUGGAGGCGUGACGGAAUGAUAGCUUUUUAAGGGAUGGCAGAGGGACUGGAGAGCUUACUUAAUUCUAUCUCUCUUCAUUUUACACAGAAGAAAACUGAGGCCCGUUAUAGGGGCAUGAUUUGCUCAAGGUCUCAGAACUGGUUGUUGGAAGAACCAGAAAUAGAAACCAGGUUUACUCAUUUUCAGCCUCGUGUUCUCCACCCCUCAUCCACCCCGAUUGUUGUUUAUAAGCAGUCGCUGUAUCACACCCAGCAGCAGUGAUGAGCUCAUACCCUUCCCUGGGCUGGCCCAAGGACACAAGCGGGCACAGGGCUGAGUUGCAGGAGCUUUUGUUACCCAGCACAGCGGUGGGGGCUGCUCAUGGUGUGCAGAGUGACUCCAACAACGAGGAAAGUGACCGGGGGAGCUGCCUGUCCUGAGCACAGGAACCGCAUCGGAGGGAACCCAAGCUAAGCCAGGAGUGUCUGUUCUAACACGUGCCAUUUGGGAUCCCUUGGAAUCUUCAUGUACAGAACUGGUUGCUGCCUCGUUGAGUCGGUGGGGACAGAAUAGCUCCUGGUUGACAGCAUGGGUUGUGCAGAAGGACGGAUCCUGCAGACAUCAAUAUCUGGCUUUGAGUGGCACAAAGAAAUAAAGGAAUGUGGAUUCAGACCUCACUGGGAUGCUUGGCAAUUCUAAUUCUACCCCAGACUGCAAAUGGACACACAACUGUUGUGACUUUUGUUGAAGAGGAGAAGGAUGGUGAAGGUCUCUUUAGUCAAUAAUCUCUUUGCUGAAAUUGCUUCGGGCAGCACAGAAGCUGGAUUCAGAAGCACACAGGUCUGGGGAUGCAGGCUUCGGCCAGCCUGAUGCAAGGAAAGACUGCCAUCUCGUGGUCAGCUCAAUCCUGGCACCUUGGUGAGGGACCAGGCUGCAGAAAACCAGGCUUGGGGAGGAAACGGUGCUGCAAACUGGAUUUCUGCCGGACAGUGUGGAUGCCCUUAGAAAACACCCAGAAAAGAGCUGAGUGCCCCCCAAGGUAGGCUUCAGUGAAUCCUCUGCAGGUGUGUUGUCAUCCCUUGAGCCAAACACAUGCUUCACACACACGCUGCAGGCUGCGUGAAAAUGAGGUAGAAAUGUGGGGAAAACAUAAUCCCAUGGAGAGAACAAAGAGCUGAACACGUAAAUGCCUCCGGCGUGCCUGGCAGAGAGAACACUCAGGCUGAGAGAAGGGACAGUGACUUGUACCAAAGGUAGGCAAGUAGCCUCUGGGGUCUCAAUCAGCAGGGCAUCUGGUCAACCCUUCAGACAAAGUCAGGUCUGAGCAGGCAAGAUCCAUGGAUCUGAUUUAUUAAUAUUUUUACAAUUAAAUAGAAUCUGAUUGUAAAACUGUUACAUGUGUUGUAAGAAAAAAAGAAAAAAAGGAAGGAUAUAGAAAUGUACAAAGAAGGAAAUAAAAGACUGGAAGCGUCCUCACCUUAGGGACCCAUUAUUAACGCUUAGGUGGCCAAUCUUCCAGACAUCUUGCUACGAAUAUAUUCAAACGGGAAUUAAAAAUGUACUUUUACACAAGUGCAAUCAGACCUUGUACUCCUCUAUCCCAUAACCUACUUUUUCAUUCAACACUAUGACAGAAGCGUCUUUCCAGGUCCAUAAAUAAAGGUAGGCCUCAUCGUUUUUUAUCAAUUACAUAAAGCUAAUGGUAUAUAAUACUGAUUUCAUACCUGCUAUAUGCCAGGCACAUACAUGGUCUUGCAUAAUCUCAUAAUGACUCUACAGAACGGGAGUUUGUAUUAUGCCCAUUAAGCAGAUGAACAGGCUGUGGCACAAGAAAAUUGAUCAGCACUGCCAGGGUAUCUGACCUCAGAGCCCAGGAUCUUGACUAGUAGGCUAGAAAUGAACAUAAUUUACUUACCAGUUUUCCAGUGAUGGACAUUAAGCCAUUUCCUACUUUUCUGGUAUAAAAAAUAAGAUUGCAGUGAAACUUUAGGGCAUAUACAUCUUUGCACGUUAGUGAGUUCUCUCUAAGUUAACCUGAAAGCGGUGGGCUGUGGAGUUUGUGGGUCAAAGUGUAUGCUCGAUUUAUGCUUUACUAUGUGCCCGACUUCCCUCCAGGCAGCAUGUGCCAGCUCACACUCCCAACAGCUGCGCAGGAGAAUUUCCAGUGCCCCACGACCUUGUCAAUACUAGGCUUCCUCAUCAGUUUUUUCUCUCCUUUAUUUUUCUUUAGGAAAAAAAAAACAGCCUUUGAAAAAAAUUGUACGAACAAGUGCAAUGUGUGCUUGUAAGUGCUUCACCAAAUGUAGAUCCACCCGGUGUUAACCUUUUGCCACAUCUGCUCUCUAUUAGUUUUUAUCACACUUUGGAAUUAUCUAUAGACAUCAUAACACUUGAUGCCUAAAUGCUUUGGUGUGUGUCUCUUAAGAACAAAGACACACCCUUACCUAAGCAUAAUAUAAUUGGUACACUUGGGAAUUGCUAAAAUACAUUGCUAAAAUACAGUUUUCUAAUACAGAAUCUAUAUCAAGUCAUUGAAUAAACACACUUCUUGACUUAAAAUGAGAUUACAUCCCAUAAACCCAUAAUAAGUUGAAAAAAUGUAAGUAAAAAUGCAUUUAAUACACUAAAUCUGCUGAAUAUUAUAACAAUUUUGCCUACAUUAAAUGUGCUCAGAACACUUACAUUAGCCUACGGUUGGAAAAAAUUAUCCAACACAAAGCCUAUUUUAUAAUAAAGUGUUAGAUAUCACAUGUAAUGUAUGGAAUACUGUACUGAAAGUGAAAAACAGAAUGGUUUUAUGGGUUCUCACAAUACGGUUUCCACUGAAUGCCUAUCACUUUUGCACCAUUGUAAAACUGAAGAAUUGUAAGUUGAACAAUUGUAAGUUGGGGACUGUCUGUACUUAACAGAUUUUUGUCUUGAUCCAGAAUGGAAUCAAGGGUCACAUAUUGAGUUUCGCAGUCAUGUCUCUUGAAUCCAGAACAGAUCUCCAGUCUUUUUGUGGUCUCUCAUGACAUUGGCAUUUUGAAGAGUUUUAUAGAGUGUACUUAGACCUGGAUUUACCUGAUUGAGCCUCAGGAUUAGAUUUAGCAUAAAUAUUGUUGGCAGGCAUAUUAUAUAGAUGCUGUUGCUUCCUUCUCAGGGCGUCAUAUCAGGAGGAACAACAAGAUGUCAAUUUGUCCACAAUUUGUGACAUUAACUUUGAUCACUCAGUUAAGUGAGUGUCUGCUAUAUUUCUCCAUUGGAAAUGUACCCUGAUCUUUUGUGAUUAUUAAGUGACCUACUGGGUGAUACUUUGAGACAGAAUAUCGUGCUUCCCAGCAAUCUCUUACCCAGUGAUUUUAGUAUCUAUUGAUCAUUCUUGCCUGGAUCAGUUGCUGUUUUGCCGGCUAUAAAGUGCUCUUUCAUUUCCCAUUCUUUCUACUUUUAAAAAAAGUUAUCACUCUUCUAUAAAGAAAAACUUCUUAUCCUAUCCCUCAACUUUUUUAGUAUCAGAUUGUACUCAAGGCUUCUUUCUCUAUCCAGUGUAUUUCUGUAACUAUCCAUUUUGACAGCCAGAUCAUCCCAAAUUUGGCAAGUGGCAGCCCCUUCAAGCUGGACCUGUGUCCUCUGAGCCCCUCUCUGCUCUCUGGCACGAGAUGCUCCAGGCUCAUCUUGCAUUUUCCUUGCCUCAGGCCUGGCAUCAGCCAUUUCUCCAGGAGCCCUCCCAUCUUUGUUUAUAUAUUUAUUAAUAUUUAAUCUCUCUUAUUAUUAUUAGUUUUAAAAUUUAUAUAAAAUAAAGUUGGCGUUUUUUGUGUAGUUGUAGGAAUCUUAAUAUAGGUAUAGGUUUGUGAAGCCACCACUGUAAUUGAGAUACAGAACAACUCCAAAUCAUCAAGUUACACACCUUAAAUAUAUACAAUUUUUAAUUGUCAGCUAUACCUCAGUAAAACUGGGGAGAAAAUAUACAGUUUCAUGCCCAGAAGCUACUUUGUGCUUCCUGUUUGUGGUCAAACACAUCCUUCAUCCCUGACAGCUGCUGACCUUAUCUCUGUCUUCAUAGUUUUACCUCUUCUAGAAUGUUACAAGAAUGAGAUCGCACAAUAUGCAGCCUUUUGAGUCUGGCUUCUACUUUCACUUAGCAUAAUGCCUUUGAGAUUCAGCUGUUGCAUGCAUCAAUAAUUCGUUCCUUUUUAUUGCUGAGUGGUAGAUAUUCCAUCAUGUGGAUGAACCACGGUUUGCUUAUCCAUUUACCCAUUAAGACAAAUGGGUUGUGUCCAGUUUUUGUUGAUUAAGAAUAGAGCUGCAUAAACAUUUAUGUAUAGGGUUUUCUUGCAUGAACGUAAGUUUUCAUUUCUCUUGGGUAGGUGCCUCGGAGUGGGAUUGCUGAGUCACACAGUAAGUGUAUGUUUCACUUUUUAAAAGCUGUCAAGCCUCUUCCAGAGCAGCCAAGCCAGUCUGCGUUUCCACCAGCAAUUUCUGAGAGUUCCAGUUGCUCUGCGUCCUUGCCAGUGCUUGGUAUUGCCAGGUUUUUUAUUUUUUAACCCAUUCUAAAAUAUGUUUAGUGCCCCCCAUUUUUUUUAUCUUUGUAAAUGUUAUAGGUGAAUUUUAAAAGUCAAUCUCAAUAUAUAUUGGCUGUUAAUAAUACUAUUAAUACCUAUUACUGUUAAUAAUGCUAAUAAGUAACUAUCAAAUCUCAUAGAUGAAAAAGAUGAUUUAUGAUCUUUAAAAUUUUGCAUUUUUAUUAUUAGGAAAGUCAGAAGGGCUCAAUUUUAAACAGAGAGAGAAGCGGAUAGAGAAGUGUGUUCUUGCCUGAAGGUGUCUUUCAUCUUGGGCUGCCUCUAUCUAUUUCUGGGAUCACUGGCGGCCCUUGUACUCCUAUCCUCAG